GGUCAAGUAAUAUCAUAAUGGUUUGAGUAUUGGACUAUGACUCUGGAGACCAGGGUUCGAUUCCCAGCUUGGCCA